AGGGUGACAGCCCCGUACACAAAAAUGCACAUGCUGUGAGCUCGAUGAGUAGGGCGGGACACGUGGUAUCCUGUCUGAAUAUGGGGGGACCAUCCUCCAAGGCUAAAUACUCCUGACUGACCGAUAGUGAACCAGUACCGUGAGGGAAAGGCGAAAAGAACCCCGGCGAGGGGAGUGAAAAAGAACCUGAAACCGUGUACGUACAAGCAGUGGGAGCACGCUUAGGCGUGUGACUGCGUACCUUUUGUAUAAUGGGUCAGCGACUUAUAUUCUGUAGCAAGGUUAACCGAAUAGGGGAGCCGAAGGGAAACCGAGUCUUAACUGGGCGUUAAGUUGCAGGGUAUAGACCCGAAACCCGGUGAUCUAGCCAUGGGCAGGUUGAAGGUUGGGUAACACUAACUGGAGGACCGAACCGACUAAUGUUGAAAAAUUAGCGGAUGACUUGUGGCUGGGGGUGAAAGGCCAAUCAAACCGGGAGAUAGCUGGUUCUCCCCGAAAGCUAUUUAGGUAGCGCCUCGUGAAUUCAUCUCCGGGGGUAGAGCACUGUUUCGGCAAGGGGGUCAUCCCGACUUACCAACCCGAUGCAAACUGCGAAUACCGGAGAAUGUUAUCACGGGAGACACACGGCGGGUGCUAACGUCCGUCGUGAAGAGGGAAACAACCCAGACCGCCAGCUAAGGUCCCAAAGUCAUGGUUAAGUGGGAAACGAUGUGGGAAGGCCCAGACAGCCAGGAUGUUGGCUUAGAAGCAGCCAUCAUUUAAAGAAAGCGUAAUAGCUCACUGGUCGAGUCGGCCUGCGCGGAAGAUGUAACGGGGCUAAACCAUGCACCGAAGCUGCGGCAGCGACGCUGAUGCGUUGUUGGGUAGGGGAGCGUUCUGUAAGCCUGCGAAGGUGUGCUGUGAGGCAUGCUGGAGGUAUCAGAAGUGCGAAUGCUGACAUAAGUAACGAUAAAGCGGGUGAAAAGCCCGCUCGCCGGAAGACCAAGGGUUCCUGUCCAACGUUAAUCGGGGCAGGGUGAGUCGACCCCUAAGGCGAGGCCGAAAGGCGUAGUCGAUGGGAAACAGGUUAAUAUUCCUGUACUUGGUGUUACUGCGAAGGGGGGACGGAGAAGGCUAUGUUGGCCGGGCGACGGUUGUCCCGGUUUAAGCGUGUAGGCUGGUUUUCCAGGCAAAUCCGGAAAAUCAAGGCUGAGGCGUGAUGACGAGGCACUACGGUGCUGAAGCAACAAAUGCCCUGCUUCCAGGAAAAGCCUCUAAGCAUCAGGUAACAUCAAAUCGUACCCCAAACCGACACAGGUGGUCAGGUAGAGAAUACCAAGGCGCUUGAGAGAACUCGGGUGAAGGAACUAGGCAAAAUGGUGCCGUAACUUCGGGAGAAGG
rnacentral:rRNA from 1 species